CCCUAUGGGGUGCAGCAGGCGCGAAACCUUUACAAUGCUGGCAACAGCGAUAAGGGGACCUCGAGUGCCACGAUACAAUCGUGGCUGUCUAGUUGCCUAAAAAGCAAUUGAUAGCAAGGGCCGGGCAAGACCGGUGCCAGCCGCCGCGGUAACACCGGCGGCUCGAGUGGUAACCGCUAUUAUUUGGUCUAACGGGUCUGUAGCCGGCUUAGUCAGUCUUUUGAGAAAUCUGGCCGCUCAACGGUCAGGCGUUCAGGGGAUACUGCUAAAGCUCGAGACCGGGAGAGGUGAGAGGUACUUCAGGGGUAGGGGUGAAAUCUUGUAAUCCUUGAAGGACCACCAGUGGCGAAGGCGUCACACCAGAACGGAUCUGACGGCAAGGGACGAAAGCUAGGGGCACGAACCGGAUUAGAUACCCGGGUAGUCCUAGCCGUAAACGAUACUCGCUAGGUGUCGGCCACGGUGCGACCGUGGUCGGUGCCGUAGGGAAGCCGUGAAGCGAGCCACCUGGGAAGUACGGCCGCAAGGCUGAAACUUAAAGGAAUUGGCGGGGGAGCACUACAACGGGUGGAGCUUGCGGUUUAAUUGGAUUCAACGCCGGAAAUCUUACCGGGGCCGACAGCGAUAUGAAGGCCAGGCUAAGGACCUUGCCCGAUUAGCUGAGAAGUGGUGCAUGGCC
rnacentral:rRNA from 1 species